UACGUAGGGUGCAAGCGUUGUCCGGAAUCAUUGGGCGUAAAGAGCGUGUAGGCGGCCCGGUAAGUCCGCUGUGAAAGUCGGGGGCUCAACCCUCGAAUGCCGGUGGAUACUGUCGGGCUAGAGUGCGGAAGAGGAGAGUGGAAUUCCUGGUGUAGCGGUGAAAUGCGCAGAUAUCAGGAAGAACACCCGUGGCGAAGGCGGCUCUCUGGGACGGUACUGACGCUGAGACGCGAAAGCGUGGGGAGCGAACAGG
rnacentral:rRNA from 1 species